rnacentral:rRNA from 1 species
GAGUUUGAUCAUGGCUCAGGACGAACGCUGGCGGCACGCCUAACACAUGCAAGUCGAACGGAGAUAUUUUGGUUUACUGAGAUAUCUUAGUGGCGGACGGGUGAGUAACACGUGAGCAACCUGCCUCUGAGAGAGGGAUAGCUUCUGGAAACGGAUGGUAAUACCUCAUAACAUAACGAAGCCGCAUGACUUUGUUAUCAAAGAUUUAUCACUCAGAGAUGGGCUCGCGUCUGAUUAGAUAGUUGGUGAGGUAACGGCCCACCAAGUCGACGAUCAGUAGCCGGACUGAGAGGUUGAACGGCCACAUUGGGACUGAGACACGGCCCAGACUCCUACGGGAGGCAGCAGUGGGGAAUAUUGCACAAUGGGGGAAACCCUGAUGCAGCGAUGCCGCGUGGAGGAAGAAGGUUUUCGGAUUGUAAACUCCUGUCUUAWAGGACGAUAAUGACGGUACUUUAGGAGGAAKCUCCGGCUAACUACGUGCCARCAGCCGYGGUAAUACRUARGGAGCGAGCGUUGUCCCGGAAUUACUGGRUGUAAAGGGGAGCGUAGGCGGGAUGGCAAGUCAGAUGUGWAAUCU